rfam:Planctomycetes bacterium SM23_32 WORSMTZ_36682, whole genome shotgun sequence.
CCCGGUGAUCAUAGCGGAAGGGCAACACCCGUUCCCAUCCCGAACACGGCCGUUAAGUCUUCCGCGCCGAUGAUAUUGGUCCCUCGUGGACUGAGAAAGUAGGCCAUUGCCGGGC